rnacentral:rRNA from 1 species
GCCCAGACUCCUACGGGAGGCAGCAGUGGGGAAUAUUGGGCAAUGGACGCAAGUCUGACCCAGCAACGCCGCGUGAAGGAAGAAGGCUUUCGGGUUGUAAACUUCUUUUAAGGGGGAAGAGCAGAAGACGGUACCCCUUGAAUAAGCCACGGCUAACUACGUGCCAGCAGCCGCGGUAAUACGUAGGUGGCAAGCGUUGUCCGGAUUUACUGGGUGUAAAGGGCGUGCAGCCGGAGAGACAAGUCAGAUGUGAAAUCCUGCAGCUUAACCGCAGAACUGCAUUUGAAACUGUUGAUCUUGAGUACUGGAGAGGCAGACGGAAUUCCUAGUGUAGCGGUGAAAUGCGUAGAUAUUAGGAGGAACACCAGUGGCGAAGGCGGUCUGCUGGACAGCAACUGACGGUGAGGCGCGAAAGCGUGGGGAGCAAACAGGAUUAGAUACCCCUGUAA